rnacentral:rRNA from 1 species
AGAGUUUGAUCCUGGCUCAGAUUGAACGCUGGCGGCAUGCCUUACACAUGCAAGUCGAACGGCAGCACGAGAGCUUGCUCUUGGUGGCGAGUGGCGAACGGGUGAGUAAUAUAUCGGAACGUACCCUAGAGUGGGGGAUAACGCAGCGAAAGUUGCGCUAAUACCGCAUACGAUCUACGGAUGAAAGUGGGGGAUCGCAAGACCUCAUGCUCAUGGAGCGGCCGAUAUCUGAUUAGCUAGUUGGUAGGGUAAAAGCCUACCAAGGCUUCGAUCAGUAGCUGGUCUGAGAGGACGACCAGCCACACUGGAACUGAGACACGGUCCAGACUCCUACGGGAGGCAGCAGUGGGGAAUUUUGGACAAUGGGCGCAAGCCUGAUCCAGCAAUGCCGCGUGAGUGAAGAAGGCCUUCGGGUUGUAAAGCUCUUUUGUCAGGGAAGAAACGGUGGACUCUAAUACAGAUCACUAAUGACGGUACCUGAAGAAUAAGCACCGGCUAACUACGUGCCAGCAGCCGCGGUAAUACGUAGGGUGCAAGCGUUAAUCGGAAUUACUGGGCGUAAAGCGUGCGCAGGCGGUUGUGCAAGACAGAUGUGAAAUCCCCGGGCUCAACCUGGGAAUUGCAUUUGUGACUGCACGGCUAGAGUGUGUCAGAGGGGGGUAGAAUUCCACGUGUAGCAGUGAAGUGCGUAGAGAUGUGGAGGAAUACCGAUGGCGAGGGCAGCCCCCUGGGAUAACACUGACGCUCAUGCACGAAAGCGUGGGGAGCGAACAGGAUUAGAUACCCUGGUAGUCCACGCCCUAAACGAUGUCUACUAGUUGUUGGGUCUUAAUUGACUUAGUAACGCAGCUAACGCGUGAAGUAGACCGCCUGGGGAGUACGGUCGCAAGAUUAAAACUCAAAGGAAUUGACGGGGACCCGCACAAGCGGUGGAUGAUGUGGAUUAAUUCGAUGCAACGCGAAAAACCUUACCUACCCUUGACAUGUACGGAAUCCCUGAGAGAUUAGGGAGUGCUCGAAAGAGAACCGUAACACAGGUGCUGCAUGGCUGUCGUCAGCUCGUGUCGUGAGAUGUUGGGUUAAGUCCCGCAACGAGCGCAACCCUUGUCAUUAGUUGCUACGAAAGGGCACCCUAAUGAGACUGCCGGUGACAAACCGGAGGAAGGUGGGGAUGACGUCAAGUCCUCAUGGCCCUUAUGGGUAGGGCUUCACACGUCAUACAAUGGUACAUACAGAGGGCCGCCAACCCGCGAGGGGGAGCUAAUCCCAGAAAGUGUAUCGUAGUCCGGAUUGUAGUCUGCAACUCGACUACAUGAAGUUGGAAUCGCUAGUAAUCGCGGAUCAGCAUGUCGCGGUGAAUACGUUCCCGGGUCUUGUACACACCGCCCGUCACACCAUGGGAGCGGGUUUCACCAGAAGUAGGUAGCCUAACCGUAAGGAGGGCGCUUACCACGGUGGGAUUCGUGACUGGGGUGAAGUCGUAACAAGGUA